CCUGGACUCCCUCUUCAGCUCAAAAACCUGUUUUUGAGCUGAAGAGGGCGUCCAGGCGCCGAAAACGUUUCUCAAUAAAUUCUGUUUUUUAUUGAAAUUGAAAAUUGUGGACUGCUUAAGAGUGCUGUAACGAAAUUGAAGAUAUAAUUUGUCUACCUUUAAGAGCAGUAAAAAGUAAAAAUUGUAGUUGAUUCUAUAUAUCUCAACAGAGUUUACACCAUUAGACCAGGCAAAUGCCUCUUAUAGGAUCUCUUCUGUUGUUUAAAAAAUUUACCAUUAAAAGAGAAGCAUGCUUCCUAAUGGAGGAUGAUGAUAUAAUAAUGCACGACAUCAUUACAUAUAUUAUUAUAUCAUCAUGCCAUCAUAAAUUAUCAGUGUUUUGUGACAUCAUCCACUGUGUCAGAUUGUGUCACUGUGUGAUGAUGUUACAACAGGACUGUGAUGCCAUUACGAUAGAUAAUGUAGAUAAUAAUAUGAUAAAUAAGAAAUCAAGUUAAUCAUAUAUUAUCCUUAUACUAUUAACACUUAGUGUCAUGUAUUGGCAAUAAUAUAAACUAAAAUUAUAAUAAAAAUGAAAUUCUAUUCUGCAAGAUUAGUCAUUUC
rnacentral:lncRNA from 1 species